rnacentral:lncRNA from 1 species
UUUACUUAGAUAUGACUGCUAAGUAUGCAUAAUUCUGUUAUGAUUUGCUAGGUCAUAUACUAUAUUCUGGAUUUUAACUCAUCAUACCUUUUCUUUAGAGGAUGAACCAUCUUCUCCAACUGUUAAAAACCAAACACUCUCAAAGAAAACUGUCAGAACACAAGAAGCUCCAAGCUCAGGACAUCAAAAAAACCCUCAAGAAUGGUUUGAACAGCAGGUCAGAAUGAGGAGUAGGAUGCAGAGUAAGUAAACUUGUUUGAUGUGUUUUUCCUGGUUAUCUUAUAUACAAAAAUAAUCAUUUGUUCAUACAAGCAUUUGGGUUGUUUGUGAUCUCACUAAUAAAAAACAGCUGCGAUUACUAGUUCACUAAUUUCCAUUUGCUUGGACUGGGAUUAGAUGGACUGGGUGUACAACAUAGAUAGUGGCAUGAGAAAAUCUGGAUGAUGGACGUGGUGUGACAGUAUGUCCAAUCAUAGCAGCAAGCAUAUAUAGAAUGACAUUGUACUACUUUGACAAUCAUGGUUUUUAGUUAGCAGACUUUAUAGUAACACAACAGUUUUACAUACCCAUUUUCUUAUGUAAUAAGAGCUGGGAUGCACAAACUGUGUUUUCUUGUUCAAGUUUAGGAUUGGAUUAAGUGUCACAGAAUUUAAGAAAUGCUCAUAAAUUGAUAUCAUGAAAUUUUACUUUGAACACCUUGCCUGUCAUAAUUUCUGUAGAAAUGUGUCCGAUUAAUCCUUGACUAUAUUAAACUUGUACAUGUACACACACACAUUGUGUGCCUUAAAUAACCUUUAUUCUUUAUCUCCGUUUUACUCCUCUGACUAUAGUGGUCUCAAGGUCCUCAGGUGUCCCCUUAUUUUUAUUAAAUAAUAGAAAAAUCUCUAUUACGUGUCUCUUAUUUAUGGAAUGAUUAACUCUGUAACUGGACAAGAUAACCUCUUUGGCUUUGUUUUUCCAUGAAUAUUAAUAUGAUCACAAUUCUUUUUUCCUCAGCAGUGAGCCACUGUUUUUAAUUUUUUCCCAUUUACCAUAUGUAAAACAGUGUGAAUAGGAAAGGACGUGUCUCUAAAGAUGUAAGAUCAUUAAAUAAGUGCUUUGGAACCUAUUUUAAAAGUUGGUGUGAAAUGCCUAUCAUCCCAGCUCUUGGGAGACUGAGGAAAGAGGAUUGUUGUGAGUUCAAGACCAGACGGGGCUACAAAAUGAGCUCAAAGCCAGCCUGAACUGCAUAGUGAGAAAGACCAAAAAAUAAAAUAAAAGAUGAUGUGGAGAAAAGAAGAUAGACUUUGGAGUUAUAGCACCUGGGUGCUAGACUUAACACUCUUCACUUGCCAAUUGAAAGAGCUUGAUAAAGUCACUUAAAC